UUACAAAGCAAAGGAAAACAAUAUGAGCAUUAGCUGCUAAUGCUUUUUCAUCUAAAAUUAGCAUUAGCCACUAAUGGCAGCCUACUUAGCAUUAACUCCUCACUAAUAUAAUGCUAAUUCACAAAUAUUUACUCAUAUAUGCUUAGAGUUGUAUAAUCGAUUGCAUGAUGAUAGAGGUUUGAUCCUUAGUAGUCUGUAAAGACUUUGUGUGCCUUCCAGAGUGCUCUGGCAUGCACACACCACUUGGGGCCAUGAGAGAGGUCGUACCCUCUCUUACUGAUUUAUGGUGUAGGACAGGGGUCUCAAACUCAAUUUAGCUGGGGGCCGCUGCAGGCAGAGUCUGGGUGAGGCUGGGCCGCAUUAGGUUUUCCACAAGAAAGGCAUGGUUAAAAAAUUCCAAUCUUCUCAAAUCUCUUUAUUUUUAUUUUUUAACACAAAAUAUGAAAAAUAAAUAAACAAAUUAAGAAUUAAUAAGAAAAUAAAUCAAUCUGUAAUACAUAAAUAAAAUAAUAAUAAGAUGUUUUUAGUCAGUGAACUUGUGUGUUUCUUUCAGUCUUCUAUAUCUGCUGUAUUUAGAUUGAAAUGUCUGUAUUAACAGUUCUAUAACCUUCUUCUGAACAUGAAUGGAACACUGUAGAAAAUGAACUGUUCUUCUGAACAUGGCUUCUCUUGCCUACUCCUUGCUGCUAGAGACUAGAGAUGGCACGAUACCACUUUUUUAUGUCCGAUACCGAUACCAAUAUCAUAAAUUUGGAUAUCUGCCGAUACCGAUAUGAAUCCGAUAUAGUGUUUUUUAAUCAACAAAACUGUUUUUUAAAAUAUCUUGCUGCAUUUUGCAAGUCUGCAAGUUCAUACUCAAGUUUAAAACAACAACUACACUAAAGCUAUUCUGUUAUACCUGUAUACAAAAAAAACAUUUCAUAGUUCAGCAAUACUGAUCAAUCUAAUAAACUUAGACCUACACCAUCCUCCCUAUUCUGGUAUUUUAAAGAGUACUUAGCGUAAAUAUUAAGCAACCUAACUAAUAGGGUUCCAACUCCCAGCAACAACAAAAAUAAAUAAAUAAAAAAUAGGGAACCACCCCUCACG
ensembl:lncRNA